CCACUAGCAAAGCCGGUUCGUGUGCUCCCGUUCACUCCUACGGGCGACUAAGGGCACUGGCUGUAGAGCAGCAGCAACAGCAGCAGCCCGGGAGGGGGGAUACACAUUUGAAUUUGAAGAAGCACAUUUUCCUUCGGCGUUCCUCGGUAACAAAAGUCAGUUAUUGUUCAAAUUCACGCCGCGGCUCAUCUAAUGCAGUGGUGCGGUUCGCGCGGUCUAACGCUGCUGCCGCCCGUUUGCUGCUGGCUCAGUGUGUGUGUUUGUGUGUGUGUGUUGGGGUUUCGCGUGGAAGGACUGACUGGGCUGUGAUUUUCGCUAACCGGAGGAAAGAGUGUACGCGCGUGUGUUUUCGAAACCGGGCAGUUCAGUUGCUUGUCAGCUCUUCCAGCUGGAACAUCGCCCGGAAAUUGGGUAGUGAAAAAGUGUCGCCCAGUUUUGGGGGGCGAGUUUGUAUUGCCACGUUUUCAGAAGUUACGUUUCGGGGCAGGCCGAAGAAACAGAUGCGCGGCGGCAUGCACUCUCAGUUCAAUUGAAUUGGCUUUCCUGGAAAUUAAUAUCAAUUCCCUUUGCACGGAGAAGCGAUUCUUGUGCUCUGAACAUUUUGUGAUGAUUCGUGAUGGUCGCGCGCUCGCCGGUGGAUGAGAAAAGACACGAGGCUCACAUUAUUUCGUAGAACCACAGGCAAUGAAAAGAACAAAAGCCGCCCCUGGGGUGCAGACAACAGACAAGUGUGGUGUGCCAAAAAAACAGCGGCAGCAAUGGCUACUACAAUUCCGUUCCGCAAAAAACAAAAGAAACGUGUGCUGCUGCUCCCCAGCAGCGUUCAGUGUGUGCUGAAUAGAGAAGUGCGAAAGUAAGGAUACUCACAGGAGGAAGGGUAGAAGGUGCAGCAGGGAGUGUGCGGGUAGAGCGGGAGAGAGCGAAACCAUUUUGGUUUUGGCGCUGCGUUGGCAAUUUUGCGAUAAGAACGCGCGGCGAGUCCACACACACGCAACGCCCCGUCAUCGGCACACACAAACACACACACUUGGAGCACACGAUCCGCCGCGUGGUGUGGUCGUCGUCCCGGUUUUUUCCGCUCUGUGCUACAGUGCUCCCUCGACGGAAGAAGCACUUUAUCUCGUACUGUUCGCAAGUGUGCGUGGAUGUGUCGGUUUUUUUUUGCAGAGUUUCCUGCUUUGCACACGUGUUAAGAACUCGACAGUGCGUGGUGUGUGUGUGCGUGGCAUAAAAUGUGCGAAAACAAUAGGAUGCGAGGCUGGUCCUUUCCUUAACCUCACUUCGAUAUCACCCCGGGGAGAAAGAUCGUUGGCGUGUGGCGUGUGUGUGAUAAAACGAUAGAAAAAGAGGACACGAUUUGGGAUUGCGGGAUUGGGAGAGACUACACACAAGCUUAACGAGGCGCGCGCGCGCGCUCGUGGUUUUCGCGUAAUUCCGUAUAUGGUGUUCGGGGGGAUUUUUUUUUGGUUGGUCACACACCACCACGCCAUCACCACACAACCGGCCAAUGGUGUGUAAAACAAAAAAGAAAACUGUCAUAAUGCUUGAUCAUGCAGCAGCAGCAGCAGCAGCAGGAGGCACCAAAAGGGAAGCAGAGGCUCGUUUGUGUGUUCAAUCGAGUGUGCCGUGCCGUGCCGUGUGGGGAGCUUCCAUUCUUUGCGUCGUUGAAAUUCAAGUUUUUUUCUCUCACCCCCCUGCGCCGCCGUGUGUUUGUGAGUGCGCGCGUGAUUGUGUGUGCAACGGCGAAAUAUCCGAUCGAAGCAAGCGUGUGUGGUGGUGGUUUUGAAGGAGCAGUAGAAGGAGGCAGCAGCGCUCAUCCAGAACUUGCCACCAGGUCCAAACAGGGCAGGAGAUGAUACAGCAACAGCAACAACAGCAGCAGCAGCAGCAACAGCGCCAUAUCACAUUCCCUUUCUGGUUUUGUGCGAUUAGAAGGAGGUGACAUUUCUGCAGCGGAGAGUCUCGAUGACUCGAUCGGGCACAACCACACAUACGCACACACACACACACACACGCACACGCCCUUCCGUAAUCGAUACACCGUCCCCCGCACAUCCAAUGCUUCCCUCUGUGUGUGCUGAGGUGGUUGCUGCUGUUGCCCACAUUUGUGAGGAGUUUCCAUGGAAUUCCCUCCUCCCCAGCGCACUACGGAAGAAGCGACCCGUGGUUUGUGUGCUGCUGUUGCUGCUCUGCUGUUGUGUGCGAAAUCAGGCUCCUCUCAGUCGUCCUCGACCGUGGUGGCCACCACUCCUCUGGCGGGAUUGCCAGUGCGUUUUCCUCUCUGGGGUGUCUGUUCACAUCUUACCGGGCAGCAUUAGAUAUGUUAUCGGAUAUUUCUAAUACUGUCAGGUAAAGAUGUCGUCCGAGCCCAUGCUCAUCUUUCUUGUGUCUCUGUGUGUGUGUCUGUGUUUGGCGUGGAAGAAGUGAUCAUUUGUUUAGUAGUUGGCGGAACUCGGGGAACUGCCUCGUUCGAUCCGUAAUACCAGGCAAGUAUACACGGGAGCAGAUGUUUUGUGAGUAUUUAAUUAUCUUUUAAAUGCAACUCUUACACCAACCAUCAAAUCGUUCCCUUUUUGCAGCCUCCAAGCACUAACCGAAACAUUUGCUUUUAGGAACAAUAUCACGAGCAGGCAACAUAUUAUCGUAUGCCCCAAAAAAGGGGAAGAUCAAAUUGCCGCACGAAAAUAAACAUAAAAUUGUCAAGCCCAGUACUCUCCUACUCUGCUCCCUUGGCCGGGCGAUCGCACAGCAAUCAUCAUCGCAUCGUCGUACAACAUCCCAUCCACAAUAUCAUCUCCCCUGCCGGUGGCUGCUCUCUGCUGAUCAAAUAAUAUUGGUCUGAUGUGGGACAACACAGCAGCAGCAGCAGCAGUGUGUGUCUCAUGCCUGCCGCCGCCCCACGGCGAGAGAGAGAGAGAAACGAAGCAGACGAAGAAACGCACGAGCGCGCGCAUGCUGAGCAUAAUUGGUUAAAUUGAUAUGGUUUCCGAGGGCGGGCGGCGGAUUGCGGCGGGACAGCGUCGUCGUCGACGGUACCGUUGUAUGAUGACCGUCGCUGUGUCUCCUCCAUGGGAGGAUCAUGUCGCGUUUUUCGGUCCAAGUUUGGGAAAAUGUACACAUAUACACAGCAGCCGCUUAUCCUCGUUUAAGGGUGAGGUGGACCGUCCCGGGCGGAGCAACAUGACUGGCGACCUCAAAAGGGAGAAGAGAGGUUUCAAUAAUAUGCGUGCGCGCGGCAAUGGGCAAGUAAUGAGACACACACAAUGGGCAGAGGAGAAGAUGAAACACGGACACAAGGGGACUUGUGUUGUGCAAAGGAAAAUUGUUUCCUUCUGGAGAUAGUUUUGUACACACACACGCACACGGCGCACUUGACUCAAACCCGGGGGCUUUCUGUGUAAAUAGCCUUGAAUUAGCGUUGAAAGAGCAAUGUGCGCGAGAGGAGAGAAGUGUUAUCAUCAUCAUCGUGUAAAGUAUUAUUGCCAUCACCGGACUGAACGAUGCUUUGCUAAAUAAUAGGGCGCUUUUUAAAAUGAACACGUUUUCAACUGCAAACAACGAGUUGCUCUUUGUGUGUGUUCGGUGUUUGUUACGGAAAAAUUUUGGGGCGUAAAAUGCGUUAGGAGGAGGCAGUCGUGUGUGUGUGAAAUGCAAUAAUUUGCAGCCCACAGGCGCUGUGGUCGACCCUUUUGAAGUCGUCCCUCUCUAAUACCAACCAAUGCUGUUUGCUCUUCUAUACUUCCAAUUGGUCAUUUUUAUCACACAAGUUCCUCUAACUGGUACCGAUACGGGGUAACGAUGAUGCCGCAAGUGUACAAGUGUUGCCGAUGGGAAACCAGUUUUUGUUUGGGCGCGCUUGGAGCGUUCUACGUGAAUGCCUUGCAACCUAGCAACAAAAACACACGCCUCUCUGUCUCUCCCCUUAGCUGGUGGUUGUUGUUGUUGGCGGCGAUCGAACAUUCGAUCGAGCAAAGAGAUGAGAUGAUUUGCUUGCAUCUUCUCCUCUCCCUACGUAAUUCCGUCCCAUCAUAAAGCACAGGAACACACCUUAGCAAACAACAAACUCUCGUUGAACCCCCCGAACCGUUUUCGCGCAUGCAUGAGUGCAAUUUGGAGCCGUCGCGUGUGUGUGUCUUUUAAAAAUGAGAAAACAAUACGAUGAGAGAUGAUCAAGCAGUAGUGUACUGCCGCGCGUCCUUCGAAUGCUGUUGGGCCUUUUUUUUUGGUCUCUAAACGAGAGCCCCGCAGGUGUUAAUUACGGUCAGGAAAGUGACCCCCUUCACCGCCACUGUGUACGUCUAUGUAAAUUCAAGGCAAGAAGUGACCUUUACCGUUAACGACGAUCGAUCGUUACGAUCGAAAGUGAAUGGGUGCUCAAUUUGGUGCGUGGCAGGAAGGGUCAAGCAGUGGCCAUCUUUCCAAUUAGCUAAACUAAGUAAAAAACAUUAUUUUAAAAAAAUCGACUAUGAGCGAAAUUGCUUACGGCUUGAUCGUUUUUGGGUUAACGGCAGUGCUGUUGUGAGCCCCUUUGAACGCGUGCACGCUCCUCGACCCUGAUCUUCGGAAGGUGGUGAUCUUCGCUUUUCAGCAGAUCAAUCACCUUUCCCUCCAAAAUGUGAUAUGCGAUAUGAUGACGCUCCCCCCCCCCCCCCCCCCCCCCACUGGGGAGGUUUGUCAGAUUUCAAAUCAAAGAAAAAUGCUUUCCCCUGCUCGCUAAAAAGGGGUCAUGACUUUGGCCGUCACAUUGUGUCGCGCACUUGAGCUCCCAGAAUUUCUGAAAAUCUUAUGUCUCGACGUCGGCGGGUGGGGUCGCGUUUAGAAAACACAAGAACGAGUCCGAGUCCGAGUUUGUGUGUGCUGUGUGUGUGUAGAGGAGUACACAUUACAUUGACGAUGGAUGAUGCGAUGGCGGCGGUGGCAUGUGUAUUGUUUACAUAUUCUCCGCAGCUUUAAGACAUCGGCACAAACCCAAGGAAUCUAAAUGCCCUUUUUUUGUUUCGUUUUCUUUCUUAUUUUAGAACCAAAGUUCGGACAAGCACGGAACGGAAAAUGGAUACAAAAAAAAAUGUAAAACAAUAUGCCAGGGACACAUACACACACCGACAAGAAACGAAGCAAUCUUUUUCCUUAUCGUCGCAGUACCGACAACGGAUGGACCAUCAUGUACGCACGGGGGACACUGUCCCUCUCUCACGACUCUCGCUAAGGCCACCGCGAAGGAUUUAUUUAUCAGCGAUAAUUCUCGGUGUGCGCCAGAUGAUGCGUCUUUCCGCCUCUGUGCCUUGCAUCUUAGCUACCUCCUCCUCCGGGUUUUGUACAAAGCAAAUUGAACAACAACGUCGGACGGAAGUCGGAUGAGGGAUCGGCGUGAUCGCGAGCAUGUAUCGUGUGUGGUGGUGUGUGCAGUGCAGACAACACAAGCCACUCAGUGGCACGCAGCAGGGCGACGAGGUGGACACGAGGAUUUAUUGUUUUAUGGCACCCAUAAAUGUUAGGAAAAAGUUUUUGUCAGAACAACAUAGCGCAAACGACGAGACGACACCAAUGAUGAUGAGGAUGACGGUAUGCUCCUAGGCGGGUCAGUUGGCAAACACACAAACCGGCGAAAACGCAUGCGAUUCUGUAGUCGUAGCAGGCAGGAAAUUGAAAGAGAAAGCCAACGUUGUGGGGGAAAAGUUUUAGACGCGGCAAGUAAUGUUAGUUAGAUGGGAAGACACAUGGCGCAAAUGGCGGCGGCGCGCACAUGGCGAUACGCAAGAAGAUGCGCGGUCGAUUGACCGUUGCGUGUACAAGCAACGGGAAACGGGAAAAGUAGGAAAAGAAGCGAGAAACGCCUUAUCACAUUUAUAUACUCCGCUGACCCCGGCCGGUGAUGGAGAGGGGUGGGGGGUUUGAAUCCGUUCCGGCGGUUUGAGCACGCGCGCAGACGCGAAAUUCGUUGGCGGAGGAGCAGGUCUGAUGUGGACAUGUGGACGCGUGCCAGUGAAAUGUAUGGUUGGGUGUGUGUGUGUGUGUUGCUACCCUCUUCCCCUUUCCUCAACACUCUUUCCGGUAUGGAUAUUCCGGUCGCGUUUCGUCUCGCGCUCGCAUUUUUGAACAUUGGUUUGGAUGGAUUUUGGAGCCGGCCAAAGGAGGAGGAGGAGGAUUAACGAAAUUAUCACAGACAGAUCAGUUUCGCCUCCCAUCACACCACACAGACGGCAAGGGGGUGUAAUAAAAGCAGGCUUUAAAAUACAAACGAAUUAAGUUGUCAUACAGUCGUCGGAGGUCGUGACAGUCGACCGAUCGCGAGAGAGAGUGUGUAUUUGCUUUCUCAUCGCAAGAAAGAUUGUUUUUGUUAAAUAUUAUCUUUUGCUUUUCAUAAAUAAUUAAAAGCUACAGAUGCGCGGAGAGUAAAACACAUAAAAACUGUGAUUAAAUUUAGGAGGCGGACAAAGCAUGACAGCAUCAAUAAGUUAUUGAGAAUAUAACUCCACGUCGAGCCAAUCCGGGCCUUAAACGUACAGCGCUCAGCUCGAAGAAAGUGAAACACAAUACCACUUGUUGUCGUUUGACGACGAUCAAUGAAUUUGUUACGAAUGAAAGCAUCUAUCGAUCGACUGGCACUACUUUUGCCCCGCCAACACAUCACCCCGGUCGAUUAGAUACGGUACAUUAGAGCCGAUGGUGGCGAUGAAGAUCCAUCCAUGCAGCCAGCACCAAUAGCAACAGCAGCAGUUCGUUCGUUCUGUCUGUCCCGCGUGGUAAACACAUGUUUUUCGGGUUUAUUUUCCCGGGGUGUCCGCUCCAGGGGGGCGUUCUGGUACUAGCGGGAUAUAUACACACAUAUCUAUUUGAACAGAUUGCCCCAUAUGUGUGGGGUUGUGUGUGCAGUGUGUUGUGCCAUCCCCCGUCACAAUCAUCAUCAUCAUCGUCAUGAUGAUCAUCACAGUCACCAGCGUGUUUCGUGGCCAAUGUCUCGUGUGUCUGCGUUAGGAAAGUCUGUUGAGCUGAGCUGUAGGUAUGUUUGAAAAUGCUGUCGAAAUUCAAGAAAGAAGACGGUUUUUAAGAUGUGUUAUAAGGCUUAGGUUUGUUGGUUUAUUCGAUUCGCCACACGGUAUUACUACUACUGCUACUGACUGACUGUGUGUAGUUGUAGUUUAAACGCUUUGUCGAAUGGUGACUGCCGUUUCGUCGAUAAAAAGUAAGGGCAACACGUGUUCCGUAUCUGUGUUUGCAUUAGGAGGAGAGGGUACACGAAAAGGCGAAAAAGGCAGGGUAAUGUGAAGAAAAUUGCCACACAAGCAUUUUUAUUAGGGUCUUUAGUGGCGAUAGCAGUCAGGGUUUAAAUGUGGCUCAAGUAAUUUUAAUGUGGUUUAGAGAUCAGUGUAUGGCGAUUUUUUUAACAACAAAUAAACGAUAAAAAUGGAAAAAAUAAA